CAUGACAGGAACUGUACAUUGUUUAGAAGUCAGUUGCUUUGUCCGUGCUUUCACGGGCGAAAAAGUUAUACUUGAAUCUAAAUUUGUAUGUUUUCAGAGUUCCAUUGUCUGUAAAUCUUUGAAGAGGUGCUGAAUUACGUAAACAUGUUUGGAUUUAACGUAUUCCUGGAGGUUCCACGACCUUUCAAUACUCAGUACAAAUGCUUCUCCGUGUCAAUGUUGCCGGGUACAUACCGACAAGAUGUAGAACGCGGUGGAAAAAUAAUCAUGCCACCUUCAGCUUUAGAACAACUUACAAGGUUGAAUAUCAAUUAUCCCAUGCUAUUUAAAUUAACUAAUAAAAAAACCAAUAGAGUUACUCAUUGCGGAGUCUUGGAAUUUGUUGCAGAUGAAGGAAAAGUUUAUUUACCUUAUUGGAUGAUGCGUAAUCUUUUGUUACAAGAAGAAGAAUUGAUAAACGUCGAAAGUGUUUCUUUACCAGUUGCAACAUUCUCAAGAUUUCAACCACAAUCUGAAGAUUUUCUAGAUAUAACAAAUCCUAAAGCUGUUUUAGAAAAUGGGUUAAGAAGUUUUGCUUGUCUUACAACAGGGGACAUUAUUGCUAUAAAAUAUAAUCAAAGAAUUUAUGAAAUGUGUGUUUUGGAAACAAAGCCAGGUCCAGCUGUUAGCAUCAUAGAAUGUGAUAUGAAUGUAGAAUUUGCUCCACCAGUAGGAUACGUAGAGCCAGAGGAAGAAGUUAAGAAAGAUGAAAAUGUAAUGGAUCCUGCAGAUUUAAUGCCAGCACCAGCUGGUUUUGUGCCAUUUAAAGGGCAAGGAAACAGAUUAGAUGGUAAAAAACGAAAAGAUUCUGCUCAAGCAGAACCUUCUGCAAACAAACCAACAUAUGUUAGAGGAAUACCAGAUUAUGAUUACAAAAUAGGCACUCUUAUAUUUUUACGUAAUAUGAAACCUACCAAUAAUAAAGAGGUAAAAGAUCCAGAUGAAUUUAAAGCAUUCACUGGUGAAGGUUUUUCUCUUAGGAAAUCAAGAAAAUGAUUGAAUUACUGACAGUCUAUUUAUUUUCUUAUUAUUACAUACAUAUUUGUAAAAUACAGGAAUCCAUGUUUUAUACGGCCUACAGCAACCGUCCCGGUCGCCUGCAUAUAAUGUAUACAAAUCCGCCAUUGAAUAAGAAAAACUGUGAAUUGAUGUAUAAAGUGUCGAAACGGAGGUUUAUGAAACAAAUAACCCAGCAGGUAGCGGCGGGUCGUAAAAUGAAAGUCUAAAAUCUAUUACGGCCACCAUUUGUAACACGUAUUAGCACGAAAUAAUAGUUAUUUAUUUUACACUCAAAAACGAUGAUUUUAAAGUAUAAAUAA